rnacentral:rRNA from 1 species
UACAGAGACCUCAAGCGUUAUCCGGAAUCAUUGGGCGUAAAGCGUACCGAUAGGUGGUUUUACAAGUCAGAAGUGAAAUCUCAAGGCUCAACCUUGAGACUGUCUUUUGAAACUGUAAAACUAGAGGAGCAAAGAGGAAGCUGGAACGAACGGUGUAGUAGUGAAAUGCGUUGAUAUCGUUCGGAACACCAAUAGCGUAGGCAGGCUUCUGGGUGCUACCUGACACUGCUAGGACGAAAGCGUGGGGGAGCGA